rnacentral:rRNA from 1 species
UACGUAGGGUGCAAGCGUUUGUCCGGAAUUAUUGGGCGUAAAGAGCUUGUAGGCGGUUUGUCGCGUCUGCCUGUGAAAUUUCGGGGCUCAACCCCGAACUUGCAGUGGGUACGGGCAGACUAGAGUGUGGUAGGGGAGACUGGAAUUCCUGGUGUAGCGGUGAAAUGCGCAGAUAUCAGGAGGAACACCGAUGGCGAAGGCAGGUCUCUGGGCCAUAACUGACGCUGAGAAGCGAAAGCAUGGGGAGCGAACAGG